AUUGAACGCUGGCGGCAGGCCUAACACAUGCAAGUCGAGCGGAGCGGCGGACGGGUGAGUAAUGCCUAGGAAUCUGCCCGGUAGUGGGGGAUAACGUCCGGAAACGGGCGCUAAUACCGCAUCCUAUCAGAUGAGCCUAGGUCGGAUUAGCUAGCUGGCGGGGUAAAGGCUUACCAAGGCGACGACCCGUAACUGGUCUGAGAGGAUGAUCAGGCAGACUGGAACUGAGACACGGUCCAGACUCCGGCGGGAGGCAGCAGUGGGGAAUAUUGGACAAGGGGCGAAAGCCUGAUCCAGCAAUGCCGCGUGUGUGAAGAAGGUCUUCGGAUUGUAAAGCGCUUUAAGUUGGGAGGCGUUACCAACAGAGUAAGCACCGGCUAACUUCGUGCCAGCAGCCGCGGUAAUAC
rnacentral:rRNA from 1 species